rnacentral:lncRNA from 1 species
UCAAAAGGCCCCUUCUUCAGCCUCUUAGGUACCAACAUAUUUGGAUACUUUCAAUUAGCACUACUUCUAAAUUAUUUUGACAUACAUUUUAGAAGAUUACAAGCUUUUAAGGUUGUGAAAAGGAAUUAUAAAUAAGAAGUAAUAUGUAUUUUUACAUUUUCUAACAUGAUUAUCAAAAGCAAAUACCUUGAAAGUAUUAGAAUGUUGUACUCUAUGGAAGAAUCAGAUUGAUACAGUUUAAAUAUAUUGAGCCCAAAGAAAGUACAGUCACAAGUUAUUACAGCAAGCAGUUUACUUUUUUUAUAUAUAAUUUUGGCUUAUAAAAUGUUUUUAUUUAUUGGAUACCAUGAUACUUAAAGCUAAGCAAGAUAACAUAGUUCAAAGAGAAUUGUAAUUAUGUUACAAAAAUAUCAGCAAAAGUGGUCCAUGUCAUAAUUUGCUUAGUGAUUAAGUACUGUCUUCUUAGAUGAAAAAAAAGUGGGGGGGGGAUGAUAAAAAGAUUCAGAGGCUGGGGAAACAGCUCAGUAGUAAAAAGCUUGCCAGGCAAGCUGACGAGGCUGAGCAUUUCCACUGGGACUCACUCGUCCUUCCUUCUAACCCUGAACAUUCAGCCAUUUCUGCCUGCGGGCCUUUGACUUAACUCUUUGGGAUGUUUGGCUGAAAUUUGAAUAGCAAGCGGCCUUACCAGUUGGCAGUCUCCCUUCUUCCAGGUUGCUAUGUAGCCAGCACCCCUUCAUCCUUCAAGUCUCAGCUUCCACAAAGCAGCCUCCCAAACCACCCAUCUGAAGUAGCCUUGCCCCUUUCAAAUUUGCCUUUCUUAAUUCUUGCAUAGUAGGAAGGUCUGGAGUCUGUUAUGUUUGCCAUUGGCUUCUCAGUGCCUAAAACAAUGGCUCACACAGCAUAGGUGCUCAGUACAUCCAUGGCUGAUGAGUGGAGGAUUGGAAAAGUUUCAGGGUGAGCGAUUUGCCCCUUUUCUGAUUGUUUUAUGGAAAUAGGAAGGGUGUUAUUUGCUCAUCUAUAAUCCAGUCAGUUGAGGUUUUCAUUCUAUGCUUUCAUAUGUGUAUAUUGUUUUCAUAAUCGUACUAUAUUUUAAAUGUUUGGUGCUUUGGUUUUGUUUAAGUUUAAAUGUUUUUCUGGUAAUCCUGCUGUAGUUAUUUUAAUGGCUACCUAAUAUAUAUGCUACAUUGAGUUGAUAACUUGUCAUUUACUUGCCUGUACCCAUAUAUUGAAUACUUUUCUUCUAAUUUUUCCUAUUAUAAAUAAUACUGCACUGGUUAGUUUUGUGUCAACUUGACACAGCUGGAGUUAUCACAAAGAAAGGAGCUUCAGUUGGGGAAAUGCUUCCACAAGAUCCAGCUGCAAGGCAUUUUCUCAAUUAGUGAUCAAGUGGGGAAGUCCCCUUGUGGGUGGGACCAUCUUGGGGCUGGUAAUCUUGGUUCUAUAAGAGAGCAGGCUGAGCAAGCCAGGGGAAGCAAGCCAGUAAAGAACAUCCCUCCACGGCCUCUGCAUCAGCUCCUGCUUCCUGACCUGCUUGAGUUCCAGUCGUGACUUCCUUUGGUGAUGAACAGCAGUAUGGAAGUGUAAGCUGAAUAAACCCUUUCCUCCCCAACUUGCUUCUUGGUCAUAAUGUUUGUGCAGGAAUAGAAACCCUGACUAAGACAAAUACUUUAAGGUAUAACCUAGUAAAUACAUAAAAAAAUCACCAUUGGGUAUAAUAAAUUAUAAUCAUUAAAGAUGGUUUUAUGGCUGGAGAGAUGGCUCUGUGGUUAAGAACACUGACUGCUCUUCCAGAGAUCCCGAGUUCAAUUCCCAGCAACCACGUGGUGGCUCACAACCAUCUGUAAUGGGAUCCAAUGCAAUUUUCUAGUGUGUCUGAAGACAGCAAAAGUGUACUCAUGUACAUUAAAUGAAUAAAUAAAUCUUUUUUUAUAAAAGAGAUGGUUUUAAAGAGUAGGAGUUGCUCAGGCACCUUCUACCAUUUCUGACUGCAUAUGCAUUAGUUGUAAAGGAUGUGUAUGGCUCUUUGGGGCUUAAAGUACUUGUCACAGUUGCUGUCAAAGCUCUGUGACUCAGUGGGUUCUGUAAACGGUGGCUCAUUAUUUCACAAAGAAGUUUCAGGAGCCUCAUGACAUACUUUAACUCAUAAGGUAAUUUGGAUACAAAAUGUGUAAGUCCUACAAAUAGUUAAAUUAUUUUUAUUAAAAUUGUUACCUUUAAUAAAUAGAACAACCAUAAGGCAAAUAAGCACAGGACCUAAGAUUGUUUCUUGGGUGCAGGUAGACUAGAUAUUUGAGCUUGUGAAAUUAUGUUUGACAAACAUCAUGGUUUUCACGAAUACUUUUUGUAAUGUUUGUAAUUCAAUCCUCUUUUUUUUUUUUUUAAAUCAGAAGAAAUGUUUAGGACAAAAUUAUUUGAGUUGCCUUUGAGAAUAAAAUUGAACUUGUCUGUGACCAGAAAUGGUCUGGAACGCCAGCUGCUCCAGAGGCUGAGGCAGAACCAUAAGUUUGAGGCCAGCCUGAACUAUACAGCAAGAUUUUGUCCUAAAAUAGACACUCC